rnacentral:rRNA from 1 species
AGUGAACGCUGGCGGUAGGCCUAACACAUGCAAGUCGAACGGCAGCACAGUAAGAGCUUGCUCUUACGGGUGGCGAGUGGCGGACGGGUGAGGAAUACAUCGGAAUCUACUUUUUCGUGGGGGAUAACGGAGGGAAACUUACGCUAAUACCGCAUACGACCUACGGGUGAAAGCAGGAGAUCUUCGGACCUUGCGCGUUUGAAUGAGCCGAUGUCGGAUUAGCUAGUUGGCGGGGUAAAGGCCCACCAAGGCGACGAUCCGUAGCUGGUCUGAGAGGAUGAUCAGCCACACUGGAACUGAGACACGGUCCAGACUCCUACGGGAGGCAGCAGUGGGGAAUAUUGGACAAUGGGCGCAAGCCUGAUCCAGCCAUACCGCGUGGGUGAAGAAGGCCUUCGGGUUGUAAAGCCCUUUUGUUGGGAAAGAAAAGCAGCAGGUUAAUACCCCGCUGUUCUGACGGUACCCAAAGAAUAAGCACCGGCUAACUUCGUG